rnacentral:rRNA from 1 species
GCUUAACACAUGCAAGUCGAGCGGUAGCACAGGGGAGCUUGCUCCCUGGGUGACGAGCGGCGGACGGGUGAGUAAUGUCUGGGAAACUGCCUGAUGGAGGGGGAUAACUACUGGAAACGGUAGCUAAUACCGCAUAACGUCGCAAGACCAAAGAGGGGGACCUUCGGGCCUCUUGCCAUCAGAUGUGCCCAGAUGGGAUUAGCUAGUAGGUGGGGUAAUGGCUCACCUAGGCGACGAUCCCUAGCUGGUCUGAGAGGAUGACCAGCCACACUGGAACUGAGACACGGUCCAGACUCCUACGGGAGGCAGCAGUGGGGAAUAUUGCACAAUGGGCGCAAGCCUGAUGCAGCGCAUGCCGCGUGUGUGAAGAAGGCCUUCGGGCUGUAGGACGCUUUCAGCGAGGAGGAAGGUGGUGAGCUUAAUGACGCUCGUCAAGUGACCUGGGCGCGCUAGAGAGGCAGCGGCGAACUCCGUGCCGGCAGCGCGCGGAGUGCGGAGUGUGGAAGGAGUUGUCGAAAGCACGGGGCGAGGAGGCGCGACAGACCGGGUUGCUCAUGCGGGAGGGGGAACGCAGGGAGUGAUGCUGGUACGGUGGAUUGGGAGCGGGGCGGCGAUAUAUGCCCGAGAGGGGGGGGAGGAGUCAGGGCGCUUCGGGGGAAGCCGGGCGUAACGUAGGGAAAGGAUUGGGGAGGGAGGAGGGGGAGAGGAGGGCGGCGGAAGUCGUAAAAGGGUGGAAGGGGGGGGAAUUAU